AUGCCAACCCAUUCUAAGGUCUCAUUAGCUCUUUAUGGGAUGUUCUACGGGCAUGCUAUAGAACACUGAUAAAAGAUUCUGCCAGAAUGUUGAGCUAAAGAAUGACCGCACAGUUAAGGUGGCUCCAGUCCAGAGCAUCUUGUAAAACGUGAAGUCUGGAAAUAAACGUUCUCAGCCACAGAGCAGCAGGUGGGGAUGGAGCAGGACUUGAGCAACAAUCCAUUAACUGACAGUUUGGUAGGAGGCAUUCAGCUUGCCUAUGGGAACGUCAAGGAGAUCUGCUGGCUGGGAUGGCAAAGACCAAAAGAGGAUCCGAUAGAGAGGCCUGUCAACCCUCUGCGACAACUGCUGUCAGCCACCCCUCCUUUAGAAGAUGAGAAGGACAGGCUAUUCCACAACAGGAUCUGGACUCGACAGACAAGUGUCUUAUAUCAUCCUAAAUUAUCUACAGUGGGCAGCAGCAUUUCUUCCCUUCCUCAUGAGUGGUUUAAGUCACGGAGGCCAACCGUGGCCCCAAAGCAUUGUUCUAGUACAGGGACAGGGGGAGGGAGGGAAUAACACCUCACAGAACUUUUAUUACAGUGUAUUGUAAUAUUGAUAA